CUUCGCCCCGUCCCGUCCGCGCAGCGCGUCCGGCCCGCCCGCAGGCCAGCUUCUCUCGGGAGCCCCCACCCAGGCGCAUGGCUCCAUGAAGCAAGAGGAGGAGGCAGAGCGCGAGAGGUCCCGUCCGCCCCAGCCGCGUCUGGGCCAGGAUAAAAGCAAAACCAUAUUCCUGCUGCUGUCAGUUAUGAUGCACUGAGAAAACUUCAGAGACCUAAACUUUUUCCAGAGAAGAGAAGCUUUACUGGUGUUCCAGCCCUAAGAAACCUUUGUUCAAGAAAACGGCAGAUGCUCUGUUGAAUCCACUGGAGAUUGUUCUGAUACUAAGGACAAGUAUGCUCAUAUGACAUUAACAGACAAGACACUUUUCAGAAAGACAG
rnacentral:lncRNA from 1 species